rnacentral:lncRNA from 1 species
GUGAAUAGAUAUUGAAUGAGACAUAUCGUGUGGUUCCUGUUAGAAAAAUUUUGAGAAGUAAAAGAUAAGUUAGUAUCCAUUGGAAGUAAGUUUGGUCUUGAAAGAUAAAUUUAAUGGACAAGCACUGAAUUAUAUUUUAAUUGGUGAAUUGUCGACGAAGGAUCGUGUUUGGAAUGUCUCAUUGAUACUUACAGGAAUUUGAAAUCGUAGGAGUGAGUUGGUAAAGUUUUGGGUGGAGAAGAAUGAGAGUGGUUGUGUAAUGAAAGUCCAAAUUAGCGAUUCAUGUAAAAAAUAGUAACUAAUAGUGUUUAGAUAAUUUUGGUUGUGUUUGAGGUGUGUUGGACUAAUUUUGGCAUGAAAUUGAUGCAACAAUGGAGUUUCAAAAGCAAAAUCUGGUGGCAGGUUUGUUAUAUGUACUGGUACUAAAAAAUGUAGUAACGGAGUAGAAUUUUUUGCUACAAAAAAUUUUAGAAUUUUGUGGGA